AUGAUCGCCUUCGGAGCCAACGACCAGACCAUAUAUCUGAACGGAGCCGUCGUGCCUAGUGUGAAAGCCCGCGGAAGGAAGAAGGGUGGACACGAUCCGGGCCGGCCGGUCCCAGUCCGAGCCAUCGUUUGGAUCGGCCGGCUGCGGUCCGAACCAGACCGGACCGAGAUCAUGAAGGUCCUGAUUUCAGAGACUGGACCGGCGGCGGCCAAGCCCGGGCCGGACCGAGCGGACCGGCCAACGACCAUCGGCGAGGUGUGCGACGUGCGCGGGUGCUGUAGCAAGGUGGGCGACAUGUGA
rnacentral:rRNA from 1 species